rnacentral:rRNA from 1 species
UACGUAGGGUGCAAGCGUUGUCCGGAAUUAUUGGGCGUAAAGAGCUUGUAGGCGGUUUGUCGCGUCUGCUGUGAAAUUUCGGGGCUCAACCCCGAACUUGCAGUGGGUACGGGCAGACUAGAGUGUGGUAGGGGAGACUGGAAUUCCUGGUGUAGCGGUGAAAUGCGCAGAUAUCAGGAAGAACACCUAUGGCGAAGGCAGCUCUCUGGGACGGUACUGACGCUGAGACGCGAAAGCGUGGGGAGCGAACAGG